rnacentral:rRNA from 1 species
UAAUACUGGAUAGGCAAUUAUUCCUGUAAUGGUUUUUUGUUUAAAUGUUUUUUUCGCCUAAGGAUGGGUCUGCGGCCGAUUAGGUAGUUGGUUAGGUAAUGGCUUACCAAGCCUUUGAUCGGUACGGGUUGUGAGAGCAAGAGCCCGGAGAUGGAACCUGAGACAAGGUUCCAGGCCCUACGGGGUGCAGCAGGCGCGAAACCUCCGCAAUGUGAGAAAUCGCGACGGGGGGAUCCCAAGUGCCAUUCUUAACGGGAUGGCUUUUCAUUAGUGUAAAGAGCUUUUGGAAUAAGAGCUGGGCAAGACCGGUGCCAGCCGCCGCGGUAACACCGGCAGCUCUAGUGGUAGCAGUUUUUAUUGGGCCUAAAGCGUCCGUAGCCGGUUUAAUAAGUCUCUGGUGAAAUCCUGCAGCUUAACUGUGGGAAUUGCUGGAGAUACUAUUAGACUUGAGAUCGGGAGAGGUUAGAGGUACUCCCAGGGUAGAGGUGAAAUUCUGUAAUCCUGGGAGGACCGCCUGUUGCGAAGGCGUCUGACUGGAACGAUUCUGACGGUGAGGGACGAAAGCUAGGGGCGCGAACCGGAUUAGAUACCCGGGUAGUCCUAGCUGUAAACGAUGCGGACUUGGUGU